rnacentral:rRNA from 1 species
GAUGAACGCUGGCGGCGUGCCUAACACAUGCAAGUCGAACGAAGCACCUUACCUGAUUCUUCGGAUGAAAGUUUGGUGACUGAGUGGCGGACGGGUGAGUAACGCGUGGGUAACCUGCCCUGUACAGGGGGAUAACAGCUGGAAACGGCUGCUAAUACCGCAUAAGCGCACGAGGAGACAUCUCCUUGUGUGAAAAACUCCGGUGGUACAGGAUGGGCCCGCGUCUGAUUAGCUGGUUGGCAGGGUAACGGCCUACCAAGGCAACGAUCAGUAGCCGGUCUGAGAGGAUGAACGGCCACAUUGGAACUGAGACACGGUCCAAACUCCUACGGGAGGCAACAGUGGGGAAUAUUGCACAAUGGGGGAAACCCUGAUGCAGCAACGCCGCGUGAGUGAAGAAGUAUUUCGGUAUGUAAAGCUCUAUCAGCAGGGAAGAUAAUGACGGUACCUGACUAAGAAGCGCCGGCUAAAUACGUG